ensembl:lncRNA CHD1-DT CHD1 divergent transcript
GGAUGCGCAGAGGCUGUCGGACUCUGACUGCGCGGAGACCGCUGGACUCUGGUCGCGGCCUUAGUCCGCUGAUCCUCGCUUGGGUGCCCGCCCUUAGCGGCCCGGCGUUGAAUUCCGGGAAGUGGGAGCUUCAGGCUCGCUCCGUGCGGGUAUGGGCGCUAAUGUCACUUGGGAUGGUUGCGCAAGGACAUCGCGGCGGACACUGACAAGGAACCGGGGAGGAACGGGGGUGGGGAGAGACUGCGAUGGGACUCGGGAAGCCGGGAAGGGCCGCGCUGAAUAAGCCUAAGGGGCCGGGUCGCAAGGAGUGUCGGGUAGCACAGGCCUCGGCUCAGUCGGAGCGCCAGGCCUCAGGGUCCGGGCGGGGGCUGCUGCGUCACACCAGGCAGCCUGGGAACGCAACUGUUGGGCAACCGUGGUGGCCUCUCGCCACCUCUUACGCUUGGGCGAUCUGCGAUUGACGCAUCCUGGGAGCUGAUGUCCCGCACGGGCGGGGCGCCGGAGGAGGAGAGAAAAUAGAGACCCGGUUGUUGACAGCCUGUGAUGCCGCUUGAUUCAUGUGUGGGUGGCCUGGUUUAGAAAUGUACCACCCUUCCUUUCUAGGUUCCUCCCCGGAGGGCGGGGUGACGGGUGCGGCGCCGAAUCGCAACAAAAAACGCUGCUCGAGGGAUGUUAGUAACUGUCUCAGCUUAAGUUGCUGCCUUUUAGCUUACAGUUUGUAUCGUAACUGUAAUUGUGGAUCUUAGUUAAAUCCCUUCAGUGUGUUGGAAACAUAUUUUUAAGUGUAUUUUUGAAACAUACUUAGAGCAUUUUGAAAUGCUUUUUUGAAAGCGUUUUUUAAAUCAAAAUUCUGUUACACUUUAUUUUUUUCAGUCUGCAGAUGAACUUGACUCACUCAAGGUUAAUGAUUUUUGUUUUUUAUUUAUGUUUGUAGAGGCGGGGUUUUGUCAUGUUGCUAGGUUGGUGUUGAACUCCUGAGCUCGAGCGAUCCACCUGCCACUGCCUUCCAAAGUGCUGGAAUUACAGGCGUGAGCCACGGCGCCCGGUGGCCGAGGUUAAUAAUAAUUAAAAGUUUCUAAUCCCAUUGUUCAGUUAUUUGAUUUGGUGUAAAGGCGCACUUUCCAAGUCAGAUGAGUUUGUGGUAACAUACAUUCCCCAAAUAAUUAUUUUUCCCUUGUGGGAAAUAUUCCAGUUUUAGGCUACCAGCUGUUUAAACAGUUUGGUUCAAAUCCUUCAAAAAAAUCUCAAAACAUAACUCCACAUAUGUAUUUACUACAUAUUGAAGGGUGUAUUCACUUGGAGAAGUAGGAGAAAGCAAACAGAUGCCAAUGGCCUUUUUGAAAACAUGUAUCUAUCAGCAAUAAUUGAAUAGCAAAACGAAGUGGAACACUACCAUCCUUUGCAAUAUUAGAUAGUUUUAAUACUGGGUUGUGAGGAAUGAAAAGAUCAUACAAAUCGUCAUUUCUGAAGUCAUUUCUGAAGUCGUCAUUUCUGAACUGAGUGCUAAUUUUUCAUAUUAAGCUUUAUGUUAAUAUCCUUAAUGAGAGGAACUUCCUGUGCCCGUAAUUUCUCCAGAGAAACUAUUAACAUACACAGAAUGUUGUAAUCAGAAGUAUAGUUCAGUUAAUAAAGUCCUCAAUUACAACUCUGACAUUUUGUCAUUGUCUUAUGAAAAGAAUUACUGUAUAUACAGUCUAUUUUACGUUUUCCGGAAGCACGUCAGGCAGGUUUUUUGUUUUUUUACUACUAAUUGUGCCAUUGAAUAUGCUAUUCUGUCGUAUUGUGCCAUCAAACAUGCUAUUCGAAAAAAGAUCUUGCCCAAUUUGUAAUAAAAUAUUGAACAUUGGAGAUUUA